rnacentral:rRNA from 1 species
AUUGAACGCUGGCGGCAUGCCUUACACAUGCAAGUCGAACGGUAACAGGUCUUCGGAUGCUGACGAGUGGCGAACGGGUGAGUAAUACAUCGGAACGUGCCUAGUAGUGGGGGAUAACUACUCGAAAGAGUGGCUAAUACCGCAUGAGAUCUACGGAUGAAAGCAGGGGAUCGCAAGACCUUGUGCUACUAGAGCGGCCGAUGGCAGAUUAGGUAGGUGGUGGGAUAAAAGCUUACCAAGCCGACGAUCUGUAGCUGGUCUGAGAGGACGAUCAGCCACACUGGGACUGGGACACGGCCCAGACUCCUACGGGAGGCAGCAGUGGGGAACUUUGGACAAUGGGCGCAAGCCUGAUCCAGCAAUGCCGCGUGCAGGAUGAAGGCCUUCGGGUUGUAAACUGCUUUUGUACGGAACGAAAAGCCCCGGGUUAAUACCCUGGGGUCAUGACGGUACCGUAAGAAUAAGCACCGGCUAACUACGUGCCAGCCGCCGCAGUAA